GUGANUCCCAGGGCUCAACCCUGGAACUGCCUCUNAUACUGNNNGUCUUGAGNUCGAGAGAGGUGAGUGGAAUUCCGAGUGUAGAGGUGAAAUUCGUAGAUAUUCGGAGGAACACCAGUGGCGAAGGCGGCUCACUGGCUCGAUAC
rnacentral:rRNA from 1 species